rnacentral:tRNA from 1 species
GCGCCCGUAGCUCAGCUGGAUAGAGCAACGGACUUCUAAUCCGUAGGUCGCAAGUUCAAGUCUUGCCGGGCGCGCCA